AUUGAACGCUUGCGGCAGGCCUAACACAUGCAAGUCGAACGAGUGGCGGACGGUUGAGUAAUGUCUGGGAAACUGCCCGAUUGAGGGGGAUAACUACUGGAAAAGGUAGCUAAUACCGCCUACCAUCGGAUGUGCCCAGAUGGGAGUCGCUAGUAGGUGGUGUAAAGUCUCACCUAGGCGACGAUCCCUAGCUGGUCUGAGAGGAUGACCAGCCACAAUGGAACUGAGAAACGGUCCAGACGCCUACGGGAGGCAGCAGGGGGGAAUAUUGCACAAUGGGCGCAAGCCUGAUGCAGCCAUGCCGCGUGUAUGAAGAAGGCCUUCGGGUUGUAAAGUACUUUCAGCGGGGAGGCGUUACCCGCAGAAGAAGCACCGGCUAACUCCGUGCCAGCAGCCGCGGUAAUUC
rnacentral:rRNA from 1 species